GAAACUAUUAAAGAACCUUUUAACUCUGUGAUGGCGAAAAUAUACCGCUGGCGGACGGCAGAUCGAAUCGCGCACAUCAAAACACCACCGGUGAGCGAGAAAUCCAGAAAGAGCGCUAAACGCCGCCGGGUCGGAUGCUUGCUACCUCCUCCUGCGCCCAGGGUUGUGCUGGGACUCUCUACAAUCUAAGGAGAGCCCCUUCAGACGAGAGCAACAGCACACACGCAGCAGGUAUUCAAGACGAUCGUCGCAUUGAGAUUGACUAGUGAUGAACAGCUGGCCAAGCGUUGAUUCCAUGACGAGUGUGUCUUUCGCUCGGGCAGUUUCUCUCCCGCGCUGUCCAACGUGUCCCGUACGCAGAAUCGCGAUCGUUACGACGGACGGUGUGUCUGCCAAAAAACCGGAUUGAGCGGGUCGCAGACUCUUUUCUAUUCUUCUUUUUUUUUUGUCUCCCAUUCAACGACUAUUUUUCUUUUACUUGGCUUGUUUUGUUUGUUUGUUUGUUUGCCCUGGCCAGAUAUCUUUUGAGGGACAGUAAAAAAAUAAAAUAAAAAAAAGACACACUGGGCAACGAAGGGGAAAAAAAAGUCAUUGAUUCUGCGCUUGUAUCUUUCUCUCUCCGUGUGUGUUUCUCUCUCUGUACGCGAGUUGGUGAUCGAUCGAUCCCCCCCCCCCUCACGCUCAUCCAUCGAAACUAGGCACGCUCCACUAAACACGCUUUUGUACAGAGAGUAGGCUAUAGUAUACUAUAUACGUAGAAAUGUACACCCAACUCUGUGUGCAGCGGGUCCCAAUUUUUUUUUUCUUUGGUUAUCUUUUCCGUGUUCAACUGAUUGUUGUGUCCUCGGGCCGCUGCGUGAACGAGUGAGAAUGUGUA